rnacentral:rRNA from 1 species
GCGGGGGGCGGGGGGCUUAACACAUGCAAGUCGAGCGGAGUGAUGGUGCUUGCACUAUCACUUAGCGGCGGACGGGUGAGUAAUGCUUAGGAAUCUGCCUAUUAGUGGGGGACAACAUUUCGAAAGGAAUGCUAAUACCGCAUACGUCCUACGGGAGAAAGCAGGGGAUCUUCGGACCUUGCGCUAAUAGAUGAGCCUAAGUCGGAUUAGCUAGUUGGUGGGGUAAAGGCCUACCAAGGCGACGAUCUGUAGCGGGUCUGAGAGGAUGAUCCGCCACACUGGGACUGAGACACGGCCCAGACUCCUACGGGAGGCAGCAGUGGGGAAUAUUGGACAAUGGGCGGAAGCCUGAUCCAGCCAUGCCGCGUGUGUGAAGAAGGCCUUAUGGUUGUAAAGCACUUUAAGCGAGGAGGAGGCUACUUUAGUUAAUACCUAGAGAUAGUGGACGUUACUCGCAGAAUAAGCACCGGCUAACUCUGUGCCAGCAGCCGCGGUAAUACAGAGGGUGCAAGCGUUAAUCGGAUUUACUGGGCGUAAAGCGCGCGUAGGCGGCUAAUUAAGUCAAAUGUGAAAUCCCCGAGCUUAACUUGGGAAUUGCAUUCGAUACUGGUUAGCUAGAGUGUGGGAGAGGAUGGUAGAAUUCCAGGUGUAGCGGUGAAAUGCGUAGAGAUCUGGAGGAAUACCGAUGGCGAAGGCAGCCAUCUGGCCUAACACUGACGCUGAGGUGCGAAAGCAUGGGGAGCAAACAGGAUUAGAUACCCUGGUAGUCCAUGCCGUAAACGAUGUCUACUAGCCGUUGGGGCCUUUGAGGCUUUAGUGGCGCAGCUAACGCGAUAAGUAGACCGCCUGGGGAGUACGGUCGCAAGACUAAAACUCAAAUGAAUUGACGGGGGCCCGCACAAGCGGUGGAGCAUGUGGUUUAAUUCGAUGCAACGCGAAGAUCUUACCUGGUCUUGACAUAGUAGGACUUUCCAGAGAUGGAUUGGUGCCUUCGGGAACUUACAUACAGGUGCUGCAUGGCUGUCGUCAG